rnacentral:rRNA from 1 species
UACGGAGGGUGCAAGCGUUAUCCGGAUUCACUGGGUUUAAAGGGUGCGUAGGCGGAUAGGUAAGUCCGUGGUGAAAUCCUGCAGCUUAACUGCAGAACUGCCGUGGAUACUAUCUAUCUUGAAUGUCGUGGAGGUUAGCGGAAUAUGUCAUGUAGCGGUGAAAUGCUUAGAUAUGACAUAGAACACCCAUUGCGAAGGCAGCUAACUACGCGAUAAUUGACGCUGAUGCACGAAAGCAUGGGGAUCAAACAGG